rnacentral:ncRNA from 1 species
ACCAAGGAGUUUAUCAUGCACGCGAGUCAAUGGGUCCCACGAAACCCAAAGGCGCAGUGAAAGUGAAGUCUCGACUUGUUCUCGGGAUGUGGUGAGAUGCCACUGUUUCUCGCACCUCGCCUUGCGCGUUCAGCACCAGGCAGAAGAGCAGUGGUCGCAUCACCGGCCCGUCCCAUGAUGUGGUCGUUGGAAAGGCGUGGAUCGUUCUGCGGUCUGGGCUGGAGCCGGCGCGUCAUCGGGGCGGAGCAGGAGCGUGCACGAUAAGACCCGAAAGAUGGUGAACUAUGCUUGCGUAGGUUGAAGCCAGAGGAAACUCUGGUGGAGGACCGCAGCGAUUCUGACGUGCAAAUCGAUCGUCAAACGUGAGUAUAGGGGCGAAAGACUAAUCGAACCAUCUAGUAGCUGGUUCCCUCCGAAGUUUCCCUCAGGAUAGCUGGCACUCAUUCGCAAGAUCAGUUUUAUCCGGUAAAGCGAAUGAUUAGAGGUACUGGGUUCGAAACGAGCUCAACCUAUUCUCAAACUUUAAAUGGGUGAGAUGCCCGGCUCGCUUUGUAGGAGUCGGGCGCUGAAUGUGCGAGUGCCAAGUGGGCCAUUUUUGGUAAGCAGAACUGGCGCUGUGGGAUGAACCAAACGCCCGGUUAAGGUGCCUAACGCUGACGCUCAUGAGAUACCACAAAAGGUGUUGGUUAAUAUAGACAGCAGGACGGUGGCCAUGGAAGUCGGCAUCCGCUAAGGAGUGUGUAACAACUCACCUGCCGAAUUGACCAGCCCUGAAAAUGGAUGGCGCUGGAGCGUCGUACCUAUACCGGGCCGUCACCGAAAGCUAGAUCGCUGGCUAUGUAUGGUGGUGCGAGCAGCACAUGGCCGGUUGCGUGAACGACAAUCAGUUGCUGUCUUGCGAAGUCAUGAUCCAGGCAAGGAGGCGGUGGCGAGUAGGAGGGUCGCCGUGGUGAGCGUGGAAGCCUCGGACGUGAGUCUGGGUGGAGCCGCCACGGGUGCAGAGUUUGUUGGUAGAAGCAAAUAUUCAAGCGAGAACCUUGAAGGCCGAGGUGGAGAAGAGUUCCAUGGGAACAGCAGUUGUCCAUGGGUCAGGCGGUCCUAAGCGAUCCGGUGUCUCGGUAAAGAGACGUGGGGUGCCUUGCAUACACGCACACACACACACGCACGACAGUUCGACCGUCGUAUUCCGACGAUGUACACCGUAUGCUCCACAGUAUGAUGGUGCAGGGACGGUGACUUGUGCACAAAUUAGUUUUAAGUAAUAGUAAACUCGCACUGCAUCUACCGCACUCUUUCUUCCCUUACCCACCUCUGUCUGGUGUCAAGACAUUGUCAAGAAGACCUGAGGCGGGGUCGAGCGCAGGUAAAUCAUAUCCGAUUAUAUCCAUAAAUGGCAACAGUGGGUC